rnacentral:rRNA from 1 species
AACGCGAAGAACCUUACCUGGGCUAGAAGUGUAGAGGACGAUAUCAGAGAUGAUAUUUCCCGUAAGGGUCUCUACAUAGGUGCUGCAUGGCUGUCGUCAGCUCGUGCCGUGAGGUGUUUGGUUAAGUCCAGCAACGAGCGCAACCCUUAUCGUUAGUUGCCAGCGAGUAAUGUCGGGAACUCUAACGAGACUGCCUGGGUUAACCAGGAGGAAGGUGAGGAUGACGUCAAGUCCGCAUGGCCUUUAUGUCCAGGGCUACACACGUGCUACAAUGGUCGGUACAGAAGGCAGCGAAUCCGCAAGGUGGAGCAAAUCCUGAAAAACCGAUCCCAGUUCAGAUUGUAGUCUGCAACUCGACUACAUGAAGUUGGAAUUGCUAGUAAUGGCGUGUCAGCAACAACGCCGUGAAUACGUUCCCGGGCCUUGUA